GUGCGCGAGAACUUUCUUUACUUUGGUGAUCCUUUGUGAUAGUGACAUUCCAAGUAAUGUGCUCUUUUUUGUGAUAGUGACACUUUACUGCUAAAUAAGCGGGAAUUUUUUUCACGUUGUUUAAUUACAAUUUACGAUGCCGAGGAGAAGACGACCUGACUUAGGUCGUCUAGUCAAUCAAAUGUGCAAAGCUACCUCACGUGCUAACCGCACUGAUGACCAGAGACAGACAGAUCAAGAAAAUAGUCGUAUUGCUAUGUCAGAAUUGCGUUCGUUAGUGAGUGAAAAUGUAGGAGAUAGGCUUAGAAUGUAACGAGUUCGUGCACAUCAAACACAACAACAGCAAGCUAGACAUAAUGAAAUUGAGCGAAUCCGCAGACGCAGUGCUCCUGUGAUUCUUGAACGAGCUGCAUUCCACUAUGAUCCGGCAAUUGAUUAGUGUGCCGACAAAUCGGUAACAAUUGGGGAAAUGAAAUAAUUUGUAAAUAUUGUAAGGCGUUUAAAUACACUAGUGAAUCUACUGGAUUAUGUUGUGCUGAAGGCAAAGUAAAAUUGCCACAAUUGGUCCCACCACCAGAUCCUUUACGCUCUUUAGUUUCUGGGAUUGGAAAUGAUUCUAAGCACUUCUUGAUCAACAUUCAGAAAUAUAACAACUGUUUCCAGAUGACAUCAUUUGGUGCUACACAUAUUAUACAAGACAAUUUCAUGCCCACUUUCAAGGUAUAUAUCUAUACUAAUAUUAUAAAGCUGAAGAGUUUGUUUGUUUGUUUGUUUGAACGCGCUAAUCUCCGGAACUACUGGUCCGAUUUGAAUAAUUCUUUUUGUGUUGGGUAGUGCAUUUAUCGAGGAAGGCUAUAGGCUAUAAAACAUCACGCUAUGGCCAAUAGGAGCCGAGCAGAGCGAGUGAAACCGCGCGGAAGUAGCUAGUAAGAAUAUAUUUUUAUAUUAUUCAAGUUUGUACUAAAAUAUAUAUAUCGGAAAUAAUUAAUUGACAAAGUUUUAAAAAUUACAGAUACAAGGACAAAUUUAUCACUUACUGGGAACUCUGUUACCACUACCUGAUGCAGAUUAUCAAUUUUUACAAAGGAGAAUGCUCAAAACAAACCCUUCACGGCGCAAACUAUACGUAUCUCAGUUUAUCAGUAUAAAUGAGGAAUGAAAUGCUAUAUAGGUACCAUCAUCGAAAACGAUGGCUAAAUGUUGGAAAUUGAUAUUUAUUUUUUAGCAUGGAUUAAUUUUUAUCAUUGUUUUGAUUUAUGAAACUUAUUACUAAGUUAUAAAGAGAUAUUACUAUCUCUUUAUUUUAUUGAGUUAAUACGCUUCGUAUACGCCGUGAGCAUCCAUCACAGAUCACCCCCUCAUCAAUACAGCGUGAUAUAAGACUUCCAAGUGCGAGCGAGCGAGCGAGCGAUAUUAACAAUGGGUACCUGUACGAGUACAAAUGAAUCAGCGUUAGCGCUCGAAUUGAGCGGAUCGCACGAGAGACAUUUGCAAACACAUUCUGUCUCGCUCACUCUUGUAAGUGCUACGUAUCCGCGUCUCAUUUUAUGCGCGCCAGGGGUUAUAUUAUUUGGGUCACAAAACGUUAGGAUCAUGCGCAAUCCUUCGUUGUACUUCGUUGUGAUCUGUGUUUUUUUCUCGUUUACCGUAUUUUGACACUCUGAUAAGACAUUGGCAUUAUUCUGGACUUCGACUUUGCAUGUGAUUGGUAGUUGAUCAAAAUAGACCAUUGUUGUUACGUGUGAUCGUUCAUUGCAACGCGGACGAGUUUGAUUUCAUGUUUUAUCUCAGCGUUUUUUUUAAUCUCGCCGAGAAUUCGCCGAAUAUAUUCUACGAAACAUCGAACCGCCACUAGAGGUAUGUACAUUUUUAUUUAAAAGGAUCAGUUAGUAUCAGUUUGUCGUAUGAAGAUAACAAUAUAUACCACCUUUGCACUAAAACUGUCACACUUAACUGUAAUACUUUGAAACCGAUUGAAAUGUGAUAAUUAUUAAUGUUUUUUUUGGAAUAAGGUCGCCUCUGUCGCUACUUUUGUUUGUACUUAUUUUUAUUUUUGUAUUUAUUCGUGUUUUAAUUAUAAAGCAAUUGGUUUAGUUGAUUCAGUGUAGAAUUGUGUGGUCUUGAAGGUCUCUGUUUAUUAUUAUUGCAUCAAUGAUGGUGCGUUUGUUUUGAUGGUUAUCAACCUUGCCUGCAACGCCAGCAGUUGCGAAUUCGAAUCCUGCUAGAAGCAUAUUUUUAUUUUUAUGUACAUGUCUGUUACAGGUGGCAUUUGACGGAUCAAGGUCGAUUUGCCACGCCUGUUGGCACAGGAUCAACGAGGCAUUACGUCGUGAUUUACUAGUUCCAAGCGACCCUCAAAAUGAAUUCCCUGUUCCCGGUUUCACUCGUGUGGCUAAUACAUCACGGCGUUGCAUGGUAGACGACUGCAAUAACGGUCAGCUCCGUGCCGUUCCGAAUAGCAUCAAGGUUUUUCUUUUAAGCUACUACCAAUUGCACAUACCGCAGCUAUGUAGAAAUACAUCAAUAUGCAAAAACGAUAAGAAAUAGUUUUACUAUACGUAUAAUAUAUAUAUUUUUUCUUUUUUGACUUAUUUGUUAUAGAUACGUAAUUUAUUGAUUCGAAUUUUAUAAUUAUUUUUACAGAAUGUCCCGUAGAGUGACAGAUAAAGACAUUGAACAACUUCUGGCGGCUUUAGAAGAUGGAAAUAUUCUGAGGAUGACAGUGAAGAUGAAGAAACCUUUUUUGAGAAUGCAAGAGAAAUGAUUCGAGAAUUGAAGGAGGAGGAGGCAGAGGAUCAUUAAGAUCCUACCUAUAGUGAUCCACCACUAGUUCAUGAUCUGCCUGGCCCAUCGAGUAAAGUUAUUUUUUCAUUACCCAUGCAAGAAGGUCACGUAGAAGAAGUUAGAAGUUAUGUAGAAUUUGAUAAAAGGAAAUCAUUUGGAAAAAAGACAGUUUGAUGUAUGACGAAUCAAAAUUAAUUCACCAACCAAGCACAACAGACUCUGCUAUAACAGAACUCGAUACACCAUAUAAAUGUUAUUUGCACUACUUCACCAGAGUUUCUUCAAAAUAUUGUUGAUGAAACUAAUUUAUAUGCAGUACAAAAAAAAACCCUUCAAUAUCUUUCAGUAUUAGUGUUGGGGAACUAAAAAAAUUCAAAGGAAUCAAUGAUAUUCUAGUAAACAGAUAUGUUAUGAGCGUGCAAUCGUGAAGACUCGAAAACGUCCUAAUUGGGACGUAUUGCCUUUAGUCUGCGUCACGCAUGGCGACGAGUGAUACGCUGCGCGCUGCUACAAAAUGCCAUCGUGUGUAUUCAGAAAGUGUACCAAUUAUGAUACCAAAGUUAAUAAAACACAAGGCAUCUAUACCACAUGUAAGUACGCAACAUACUUCGAUUUUUGUUCGAUUUAUUAAUAAAUUUCAAUUAUUUUCCUAAUAUUUUGAUAUUUGGAGGUUAGAAAAAAGAAAGAGAUAGGAAAUACAUUUUUUGUCGUGAGGAUGACAAGGACGCGUACACUUCGAACAUAGAAUAAAAAGUGCAGGGGCCGUAUUAUGAACUUUUAAACAUCCAUGCAAGUUCCAGGCAAUUCACUUCACGCCCGUAAACUGCCUGGCUAAAAUUCGUAUUAUGACAUACAUUUAUUAAGCCGCCUUCUGAAUUGUUCACUAUGGCUGGUUUGUAAUGUUUGCCGGCAGCGUUCGGAAGUAUACAUAUUUUUUUAUCGGUAAGUUACGGUUUUCUUUUAGUAUUAAAAAAUAAUAAAAUAUAUUCCCAAAAUAGAAUAUUUCAUAAAACAAUACGUACAAAACAUAGUGAAAUAUAAAUAAAAUUAUAUUGACCUUGGAUUACAAUUAAAAACGUACUUGUACAUUAUAAUAUGAAGUUUUCGAACGCAGCUUAAGCACUUUGCAAAUUAAUUUAGCGAGAAGCGGGAAAAAUUACAUUGUAUGUGCUGUUUAAAUUCUUUAAAUCGCGAAAAUAUGUCGUAAGUACUUUUUAAAAUGAAUUAUUAUAAUUUCAUAGGUAAAAUUUACUAAUAUAAUCGUAUUAAACGGCUUUUUUAAUUCUUAUCUACUUAUUUAGCUCGACUUCGGAAAGUUUACCAGCAAAUCGUCGUCGACGGGUAACAUAUACCCAGCUAGAAGUGUUGUGGGACUUCCUAAACACUAAUAAGGAGGUGGCGUUGGGAUAUAAUAAAAGCGCUCAUGCUCGGGAACAUUCAAGGAGGAUGUGGGAAAAUGUUUCCGAGCAUUUGAACGCGCAAGGUGAAGGCGCUGUGAAAAGCGGCAAGGAAUGGUGUACUGUGAGUAAUUAUUAUUAUAUUUUCAUUUAAUUCUAAAGGGUUUUUCAACAAGAACUUUGUUUUUAAUUAGAGGAACACCAAGAACGUGGCAGUUUUUAACAUUUAACUUUUGGCGGUAAUUGUAGUAGGUGCUUUGGCAAUUGCUACAAUGAAUUCAAUUACGCUCAAAAAUUGCAUUAAAAUAAUUCAAAUUCACUAUGAAAAUGGUCGUUCUGUUAAAGUUACAUUUCGUAAAAUUCGUAAUAUUUUCGGGUAACAUAAUCGUCCUUCUGAAACCGCUAUCAAGAUUUUGGUCGCGAAAUUUGAGUCGACAGGCUCGGUACAAAAUGUGCCAACACCAACACGUGUUCGACCGGGUCGUUCAACAGAAAACAUCGCUGCCGUGAGCCACAGUGUUGAAGAAGAUCAAAAGUUAUCAAUUUCACGACAUUCUCAAUAAUUGGGGUUAUCCAAUAGCACAACAUCAUCAGCAUCAACACAAUUUAUCCUGUAAAGAAAUUUUUGAAUAAAAUAUUAUUAUUAUAUUAUAUUAUAACAUGGCGAAUUUUGCGAAAGGAUUUGGCUUUGAAGCCUUACAAGAUUCAACUGGUGCAGGAAUUGAAGCAGACCGACCAUUCAAAUCGCCGUAGAUUUGCUCAGAGCAACCUGCUGGUUUUUCUCAAAAAAUCAUUUUUUCAGACGAAGUACAUUUUCAUUUGUCAGGGUAUGUCAAUAAGCAAAAUUGCCGCAUUUGGGCUUCUGAAAAUUAUUGAGAAGCCUUUGUAUGGUCAACGUGUCACUGUGUGGUGUGCUAUGUGGUCUGGAGGUGUGAUUGUAAGGAAAGUGAUUAAAAAUUUUGAUGAAAGAUUCAACAUGUAUCAGCGUGGUCCUGGUGGACAUUUGUCAGAUAUCAUUUUUCAUUCAUAAUUGCCAAACUUUUCUCUUUUUAAUACAAUCAAAAUUUUAUUCAUUUUCCACCAAAUUCUUUAUUUUAUUUUGUUUUAAAAAACAAAGUUCUUGUUGAAAUACCCUGUACUUAUACAUUGAAUGAAACUUCUUAAUUGAUUAAUAAAAGACUUUUAAUACAAAUUAACAAAAUAAUAUGUAGUAUAUGUAAUAUGUAAUAAUAAUAUGUAGUUGGUUUUUUCUUGCAGUAUUGGGUCGACUAUAAGUCGAAAUUAAAAAGAAGGGCGUCAACAGUCAGACUUUCGCAGACUCAGACUGGUGGCGGGCCUCCAAGUGUCCCUCCUCUCAGCGACAUAGAAAAAAAAAAUUAUAUCAAUAAUGGGUGAGGGUUAUGGUAGUGGAUUACCUAACGUACAGGUGGACCCUUUUGCUCCACAAGCCAUCACUAGCUCUGCUGCAGCAACAGAAGGGGCUUUGGUUGUCUGGCCUGCGGACUCACCUAAUUUAAUUGAGAAUAUAUCACGUCAGGAAGAGGUACCAUCGCCGGCAGCGGUGCCACCAGUAAUACCACAGCAAGAGGGGCUACCAACACAGCCUCCAACAGAGGAGGCUGUGUUGGUAGCUCCUCCUCCUGUGCCACCUCUGGUACAACCUCUUCAAGGGGAAAUACCACUCCCUCCCUUAGUACCCCGUGUACGUUCACGCCGGCGACGUGGCAUGAGCAAGGAGGAGGCUCGCCGGCAACUCGUACAAUUAAGCCAAGAAAGAUUGGCAGUAGAAAGAGAAAAUGCAGAAUCAUUAAAACAAAUACUUAUAGGAAUUAAUAAAAUAGCGGAUAAAAUGGACAGGUAAUACAUACAUUUAUUAUACAGUGAAACCUCGUUAAGUGAGACAUCUCAAAGAAACAUUUGUCUCAUUUACAGAGGGUUCCAUUAAUGGAGGUGAACAUAACAUAACAUAACAUAACAUAACAUAACAUUGUGGAGAUUUCUCACUUAUUCUGGUCCCACUUAACCAAGUUUCACUGUAUUUACAUUGUAUUUAUUAUUAUUAACAUUUAUUUAAAAUUCUCUAAAUUUACAUUUUUAAAUACUACAAAAUACAAAAUAAAAUAAUAUUUAAAAAUAUGAAAAUAGGAGCCGACCAUUAGCGGGAGCAUGGUCCAAGCUACCGGGUGGUUAGGGCUCCAGAGACAGAAACCUCCUCACAAUACGUGCCGUUUCGAGGAGUACUGCCCUCUGCAUCAGGCCCUUGAUCCAUCCGUCCAACCCCAGCCUCCUAAGGUGAUUGUCGAGGCUGUUGGAUAUUAAUCCGUUGGCCGAUACGACUAUCGGCACAACGAUAGCCGAAUCCACAUUCCACAUGUCGACAACCUCGUGAGCCAAAUCAAGAUAUUACAUUGUAUUUAUGGGUUCCCUCUAUCUGGCAGAAUUUUAAUGCUCCGAAAUUUGUUUGGCAUAACACACUUGGCAGAAUCUUCUUUAAACGAAUAUACAGGGUGUAACAAAAUACCCAUAUACAUCAAGAAGCCUUGAUGAAUACAGGUUGAAUAGAAUCUCUACACGAAGUUUCAGCUCAAAAUACGUUUAAAAAAAUUAGUACCAAAUACUUGGUAUCGCAUAGUUCUUGAUUUCAAAUCAUACAAACGUGUCACAACACUACAGGGAUCACUUGCUAAUAUUACGAAACAUUUCUUAUGUCAAUCUGAUCGCCUAGUACCUGUCUAGCUAAU